CCCUAGCCCGGACAGCAGCGGCAUCCUUUUAUUUUUUUUCUUUAGAAAAAUAAAAGAUAUAGCGAAUGGCCGGAUAAAGC
rnacentral:sRNA from 1 species